rnacentral:lncRNA from 1 species
CCUCAGCCUCUUCUCCUGCGCGACAACCCUCGUCCUCGCGUUCAUCCACCACGUCAGAUUCUUCAGACACGUCUUCUUCUGAAUCAGAGUAGUGUCCCCUGUCGUGUGAGGACAUCUCAUCCAACACCUGUUUAGCCGUGAAAUCCGCAGUCGCGGGUGGAUGACAUCGCGUCAGACGGACAGUACAGUGCCGGGUUGGUAAUGUCGGGUCAGGUGGACUCGACAGUGCCGGUUGGAUAACGUCGUGUCGUUUGGACACAACAUUUCUGGUUGGAUGACAUCGCGUCAGACGGACAGUACAGUGCAUGUUUGGCAACAUCGUAUCGGUUGGACAGAACAGGGCCGGUUUGUAAGACCAUCAAGUGCCUGUGUGCUACACCAAAGUGACCUGUGACCAUGGCGAGCACGGUGGAUAAAGUGUUAGAAGAAAUGCUGAAGGUGGAAGCGGACAAUGCCCAGAGGCCAGGCUCAAUCAAGUGGGCUUCGCGCAUCCAGAUGCUGCUGGGGUGGAAGCACGACAUAGCAGAGAAACACCAUGGUAUUGGACGCUUUCUGGAUCUUAUCCUGACAGAUUCAGAGUCAGAUGCUGAGCUCCUUGACUGUUAUCAUGCUAAGGAGAAUCCAGUUAAACUGAUGUACAAAGUCAUCGAUCGCUGCCUCGAGAGCGAGGAAAGCGCAAUGAAAUUCCUACAGGUCUUAUUUCAGACGCAGAAAUUCCUCUACUUGGACCUGCUAAAAGACGGACCCAGUGGCAAGUUUGUCAGGAAAGAUCCUCCCGUGGUGGAAUUGACAGAGAAGGUGCGUUCUGCGCUCGGCGAUAAGGUCGCGCAUCUCAAAAACAUGACGGCGACACCCCUUUACAAGAACAGGAUCGUGAAUGUCAACUGCGCCCUGGACGUACUGAUGCGAUACAAUCAGCUGCUUCCAGAGGAAUACGCCGAGUUUGGGGUAAACAAUCGCAAUAUCACCGCUAUGAUUCGGCUACUGCAGAAACUGUGCAGCGACACCACCAUCCCUCAAGCCAACCGGGAGUUCAUCUCAUUGGUGGUGGCCUCCUUCAACAUGCACGCCUUUGACCUUCCGAUGAUGCCUAUGAAUGAUGUGCUAGUGUUUGUAAAGUAAAAUGGAAAAAAAUAAAAUGAAAUAAAAUGUUACUGUGCCAAUCUACAUGUCAUGUCGGUGUGUGUUACAAAUGAAAUAAAACUAUAUUGAACUGAAGAAACUGGUUGACUGGUGGGAUUACAUUGUGUCAGAAAUCCACAUUCAUCUCCGUUUUCGCGUAACAGCACAAGGUUGCCAAAGUGAAAGGUGCAGCACAGGCUGUAUAAAAACAAAACUAAACAAAAAAAACCCAACAAAAACCCAAACAUGUCAGAUGACAUUUAGACUCAUCUCCGUGUUCGCGUAACAGCACAGGUUUGCCAAUGCCAACAGUACAGCACAGGUUGGAUAACAUCGCGUCACAUGCGUAUAUAAAUGCUUACAAGUAGACUGCAGAACAACAGCUCCAUUUAUUCACAACCCUCUCUCUUUCUGCGUACUAAGCCUGUGCGCUGCUACACCAAAAGUCUGUGACCAUGGCGAGCCCCGUCGAUGUGAACACGGUGGACAAAGUGUUAGAAGAAAUGCUGAAGGCAGAAGCGGAC